rnacentral:rRNA from 1 species
GACGAACCGUCCUAACGUUAUUCGGAUUCACUGGGCUUAAAGGGCGCGUAGGCGGUUUACCAAGUCCGGGGUGAAAUCUUUCGGCUCAACCGGAAAAGUGCCUUGGAUACUGGUGAACUCGAGGGAGGUAGGGGCAUGUGGAACUUCCGGUGGAGCGGUGAAAUGCGUUGAUAUCGGAAGGAACGCCGGUGGCGAAAGCGACGUGCUGGCCCUCUUCUGACGCUGAGGCGCGAAAGCUAGGGGAGCAAACAGG